UACGUAGGGGGCAAGCGUUGUUCGGAUUCAUUGGGCGUAAAGAGCGUGUAGGCGGCCAGGUAGGUCGGUUGUGAAAACUGGAGGCUCAACCUUCAGAGGUCGACCGAAACCAUCUGGCUAGAGUCCGGGAGAGGAGAGUGGAAUUCCUGGUGUAACGGUGAAAUGCGCAGAUAUCAGGAAGAACACCCGUGGCGAAAGCGACUCUCUGGAACGGUACUGACGCUGAGACGCGAAAGCGUGGGGAGCGAACAGG
rnacentral:rRNA from 1 species